AUGGCCUGGGAUCCAUUUGUGCUUGUCUUCUUUGCUCACUGCACAGGCUUUUGGGCUGAGAUUGUGUUUACUCAGCUCCAGUCUGUGUCAGGGUCUCCUGGCAAGACAAUCAGCAUCUCCUGUACCUGCAGCAGUGGCAGCAUUGACAACAACUAUGUGUACUGGUACCAACAGCACCCUGGGAGUGCCCCAAAGAUGCUAAUCUACAAUUAUAAUCAAAGACCCAAUGGGGUUCCCAACCGGUUCUCUGGAUCCAAAGACAGCUCCUCCAACUCUGCCUCCCUGACAUCUCUGGGCUGCAGCCUGAGCAUGAGGCUGAUUACCACUGUCUGUCUGGUUAUGACAACUAUUUCACACAGAGCUCAAGACCUAUGAGGAAGUGA